AUUGAACGCUGGCGGCAGGCCUAACACAUGCAAGUCGAGCGGAUGACGGGAGCUUGCUCCUGGAUUCAGCGGCGGACGGGUGAGUAAUGCCUAGGAAUCUGCCUGGUAGUGGGGGACAACGUUUCGAAAGGAACGCUAAUACCGCAUACGUCCUACGGGAGAAAGCAGGGGACCUUCGGGCCUUGCGCUAUCAGAUGAGCCUAGGUCAGAUUAGUUAGUUGGUGAGGUAAUGGCUCACCAAGGCGACGAUCCGUAACUGGUCUGAGAGGAUGAUCAGUCACACUGGAACUGAGACACGGUCCAGACUCCUACGGGAGGCAGCAGUGGGGAAUAUUGGACAAUGGGCGAAAGCCUGAUCCAGCCAUGCCGCGUGUGUGAAGAAGGUCUUCGGAUUGUAAAGCACUUUAAGUUGGGAGGAAGGGUUGUAGAUUAAUACUCUGCAAUUUUGACGUUACCGACAGAAUAAGCACCGGCUAACUCUGUGCCAGCAGCCGCCGUAAUAC
rnacentral:rRNA from 1 species